rnacentral:rRNA from 1 species
AUUGAACGCUGGCGGCAGGCUUAACACAUGCAAGUCGAGCGAGCGGCGGACGGGUGAGUAAUGUCUGGGAAACUGCCUGAUGGAGGGGGAUAACUACUGGAAACGGUAGCUAAUACCGCAUACCAUCAGAUGUGCCCAGAUGGGAUUAGCUAGUAGGUGGGGGAAUGGCUCACCUAGGCGACGAUCCCUAGCUGGUCUGAGAGGAUGACCCGCCAAACUGGAACUGAGACACGGUUCAGAAUCCUACGGGAGGCAGCAGUGGGGAAUAUUGGAAAAUGGGCGCAAGCCUGAUUCAGCCAUGCCGGGUGUGGGAAGAAGGCCUUCGGGUUGUAAAGCACUUUCAGCGGGGAGGCGUUACUCGCAGAAGAAGCACCGGCUAACUCCGUGCCAGCAGCCGCGGUAAUUC